CACAGUGACUCCACUAAAUAUAUGGCCAAAUUACCUGAGUGGAGAACAAUAAUAAAUGAUAUAAAACAUGAUAAAUGGAUUAAUGAAGGACGAUUCACACUGUUUCGAAGCAAUGAUGGAAACCUCAUGAUCUUCAUCAGAGAACUGAACCAACAUGAUGCUGGAAGAUAUGCAAUUGAAGUCCUUCACAACUGGCGUAUAUAUAUGACUUUAAAUGUCAAAGAAGAUUCAUAUUGUAAAGUGUCAGAGAGUGUGAUGGUGAAUAUUGGAGAAUUUGCAACAUUUAGCUGUGAAUAUUCACAGAAUCAUAUUAAUGAUCCUAAGAUCAUAUUCAAAGAAGGAAAAGACUCUAUUGAGAUGAUCUACAGCACAUGGAAGAAGAAAGAAGGAUUCAGUGUUUCUGAUGACAGACAUAAAAAACUCAUAACUGUGAGAAUUACUGCUGUGACACCAGAUGAUGGAGGAGUUUAUUUAUGUGGAGUUUGGAUCAACAAAUACUCAUACAGUAACUCAAUUAUUAACACUGUGCAUCUACAUGCUAAUAAUUCCUCCAUGAUCAUCAUUAUUUGUGUGUGUGUGAUUCUGCUGCUGAUUGGUGGAUUCACUGUGACCGUGUGUAAAUUAAGACACAAGAGACGAGGCGACGCUUACACACAGUUACCCACAAUCCCCUCUGAUGGGCUCCUGUUUUCUGCUGUCAGUUUCCAGAAGCAUGAAGAGUCUCUCAGUGACGCUACAGUCUCCUUCAGUAAGGACCAGAUUCACUCUGAUUACACCACAGGUCAUUUACCGCAUGAGACUCAACUAACUCACUUAUAACAGAUCACAGAUCAGCACUUGUUACUACCAGUUUUAAUGUACUGACAUCCUGCAGCCUGUUGAAUCAUGAGACACUUUAAAGUUUCUGCUGCUGCUCAUGUUGCUUCUUGCACAUGUUUAAAAUAGUUUGUCAUCUCAGUUUAUCUGAGGUCUUGAUGAAGACAGGAAAAUAAACCCCUGAGUGACACAUAUAGAAUAUACUGUAAAGUUUCCACUCCAAAUGAGACACACCAGCUAUUGAAACCAUAUAAAGACUCAUUUAUAGCAGCUCUUAAACAGACACAAGUUCAACCAACCUUUAUGAUGAAGCUUGAGAAUCAUCAUUUGUACUCUGUUCAGAGCUGUCUUUUUUUUUUUUUGUACAUACCAGGAUUUCAGUCAAAAAUAUAUUGUGAGGAAGGCUGCUUCAUCUCAGAACUGCUGUACGCAUUAACUUGAUUGUUGUUUUUCAUUUAAUUUCAUUCAUGUUAUGAUACCAGUUCAUUAAAUAAUUCUGUGUGUGUUUAAUAUGUGUAAUUUUAAUGCGCUUAAACUAUAGAAUCUUAUAUUUUAUUCAUAAAGAAAACAAAUCUAUAUUCCUAUUGUUUCCUGUAAAUCAUCUAUAGCCAUUUUUUUUCAAGUCUGAGAAUCACUGAAAGUGUGUUUCAUUAAAGUAUAUUUAGUUACAUUACUGCUUUCUGGACUCAACCUUCCAUUGUCCAGUUACAGGACUACGGUGACCAGGAGGA